GCGCGCGCACACGACGCACGCGCGCGCAGCCGGCCUCGUCCUCGAGCUCGCGCUCCGCGUGUUCAGUCCCGAGCCCUUUCAUUCAAAGCCGGGGGCGCGCUCCGCCGCGGCCGCCGCGCUGCUGCCACGUCCGCCCCCUCUUCAGAAACCCUCCCUGGCUCCUCCCUCAGCUCCUCCCCGGCUCCGCCCCUUCGCCGCCUAGAACUCCAAGCCUUCAACUUGCGUGCCCCGCACUGGGUCUUGUGUAGUCCAAUAGGGUUGAAGCUGAGGGGCUGGCGUCAGGACUAGAAACCAAUGAACGCCGAGGGGCGGGGCCAUCGGCCAGCAGGCUGACCUUUAAUCGCAAAUGUGGAGUGAAAAAGCCAUGGUCAGAAGUAAAGCACUGCACUUCCCUUCUCUCUGCAGACCUUUGGCUCAUGGGAUCCUUUGCUCCUGACAGUACGCACAAGAGUCAGGUGAGAAACAGAGAGGAAGUACAACUAAGCACUUGCCUGACAGCACCGAGGUGCUAAAGUAUAAACCUGGAAUCUGAGCAGGAAUUUGGACAGA